rnacentral:rRNA from 1 species
UAGGGAAUAUUGGUCAAUGGAUGCAAGUCUGAACCAGCCAUGCCGCGUGCAGGAAGAAGGCCUUAUGGGUUGUAAACUGCUUUUGCCAGGGGAUAACAUGGGAGUGCGCCCUUAAUUGACGGUACCUGGUGAAUAAGCCACGGCUAACUACGUGCCAGCAGCCGCGGUAAUACGUAGGUGGCAAGCGUUGUCCGGAUUUAUUGGGUUUAAAGGGUGCGUAGGCGGUCUUUUAAGUCAGUGCUGAAAUACUCCAGCUUAACUGGAGGGGUGGCAUUGAUACGGGGAGACUUGAGUAUAGUUGAGGUAGGCGGAAUUGACGGUGUAGCGGUGAAAUGCUUAGAUAUCGUCAAGAACACCGAUAGUGAAGACAGCUUACUAAACUAUAACUGACGCUGAGGCACGAAAGUGUGGGGAUCAAA